UACGUAGGGCGCAAGCGUUGUCCGGAAUUAUUGGGCGUAAAGAGCUCGUAGGCGGCUUGUCACGUCGGGUGUGAAAGCUCGGGGCUUAACCCCGGGUCUGCAUUCGAUACGGGCUGGCUGGAGUGUGGUAGGGGAGAUCGGAAUUCCUGGUGUAGCGGUGAAAUGCGUUGAGAUCCACAGGAACUCCGGUGGCGAAGGCGGCCUGCUGGACCCCAUCUGACGCUGAGGCGCGAAAGCCAGGGGAGCGAACGGG
rnacentral:rRNA from 1 species